UACAAGGUUCAUUGAAAUUAACCUGGUCACAAGCAUGUUUGCUUGGUAAACAACGCCCGACGUUCGAUGCAAUGAUUCCGCUCUAAUUAGUGCAGAAAUUAAGGUUCCAACUGCCAUAUUAGAAGGCAAGCUUGACCAGUUACACUCACAAGAAGAAGUCAAACAUGGAACCUUAAUUAGAAAAUCAAGAAAUUGAGAGCUUUGUGAAGAUAUUCAAAGGUGUUGGUCAUGGAUGGGCUUCAAGAUAUAGCGAGGAUAAUGAAUCUGUUGAGAGGAGU